AUCUGAUUGGCUGGUACUUUAUCACCUUCUGCUUUAUCACUACACCAGGCUUAAUAAAUCUACCCCUCUGUCUCUAGGUAUCGGCCACCCCUUGCUGCUGGACCGGGAAGUCCAGUAAGAAGCCAUUUUUAUACAGUAAGGAAAAAAAAAAACCGGAGUCAAUAAUUAACAGACAUAAUUUUAUAUAAUUAACACAGAGUAAAGAUUUUUUGUUUUAACUGUGUAAAGCAUUUUUUCCAAAUGUGCCCCCCAAUUUGAUUUUAUUACGUUAAUAACUACAGAACCUUAUAUCUACAUUUUUGUUAAGAAGAUUAUACUGAAUCAGUUUUAAAUAUCCACUAUUUACAUAAUUUGAUAAUAAAAAGAAAUGCAAAUUUUGGGGAUAUUUUUGGGAAAAAAUAUUAGGUUAAGUGGUUACUUACCGUAACCACUUAACGGCAUGCACUUGGAGACAUUCAAAUACCAUAAUUUAGGCGAUGACGUGAUUUCCUGUAAAAGUCUAACAAAUGAUUUUUAAUUUUGUGGAACAUGUACUUUGGAGUAUUUUAUAGAGGAGAAAUUAGUUUUUUAAUUGACAGAUGGGAGUUACAAGUGUAUUUUCCCAGUAUUUUUAAAGUUGCUGAAAACAUGACAAAAAUCACAUUACAUUUUUUCCAUGCCCUAAAAUAAGCUAGAGGUUUUAAUUUGGUAAAAAAAAUAAAAAUGUUUUACUAUAAUUUUUUCAUUGUUAAUACAAAAAGAUAAAAAUCAGUAAUUUGACAAUUUUUAAGAACUUCAAAUCCUUUGCUUAUGGACGAUAAUAGCCUUCUAUAUACCACUUUUCUGGGGUUCACUGCCUUCCCCACUUUUUCAUGCCCUUCUCACUUCUGUGCAGGUACUGCUUUAAGCGUUUUCUAAUUGAAUAGCGCAGAUAGUAGGAGUGCACAUGGGGACAUUCCAUGAAAAUUAUUAAAAAUGUACCAUACAUGACACUGUAAAAAAGAAAUCCGUGGCUGUGUAUCUUUUGAGUUUUCAACAUGGAAUGACAAGUUAAAUUAUAACUCUUUCUCAUAGGUUUUCAUAAAAAAAUAAAAAUGGCACAAGCUCUUAAUUUGACAUGGAGGGGAAUUAUCAAGUAGAAGUUUCCUUUACAAAAUGGCGGUGGACUUGGCUUGUCCUGUAUGUUCCUGAUCUGGCACAGUCAGACCAAAGCAGUUGCUAUUAUACUGAACAGCACUGGCAGUGAUGAGUCAAGUUACAGCUAACUGCGACUCAAUAUACACCAAGCACUUAGUUAUGUUCACUGGGAAGAUCGGUCCAUCAAGUUCAAAGUUCUUAAGUUACCUGUUGAGGAUAAAUGAACUUCCCAGCAAGGAAAUGUCUGUAUGGUUCAUUGCGGAUGACAGGUAUCUUGUUGGCACGUUCCCGUGUUGAAAAUAAUCCGUAUCAACUUCUAGAUGGGCGUUAAUCUUUAAUAUGGGAAGACCACAAGAGAAUGAAAAGAGACACACAGGGACAGAAGGCAAUACAAGCCAGGAAUUGAACUUGAUACACAAACACAUCUCAUUAAAGUUUAAUAGGACAGAAGUAUAGUUUAGUUGGUUUGCAGUACUUCUCUGAAAAGGUAUAUUGCUAUAUCAGACAACCUUUAAAGUAGUGGCAGGUGGCCCAGUCCAUAUAACAGGUAUACGGCGCCAAUUCUUAUCACAAAUACUGUCUCAGAUGCCCUCUGAACCCGGAUACUUUGUUCUGAGACCCUGUACUAACACACAGUUUAAAAUAGAUGUGGUUAUAUACAGGCUUUGUGUAUGUGGCUCUGAAUGUUCAGCUGUCCUUUCCAUGAUCAAAUGUAAAUUGACUUUUUAUUUUCUUGAUGUUUAAAUCUGUUUUGUUUUCCUGUUAUAUUUGCAUAGAAGUAUCUGUAU